AGUGAACGCUGGCGGUAGGCCUAACACAUGCAAGUCGAACGGCAGCACAGUAAGAGCUUGCUCUUACGGGUGGCGAGUGGCGGACGGGUGAGGAAUACAUCGGAAUCUACUUUUUCGUGGGGGAUAACGUAGGGAAACUUACGCUAAUACCGCAUACGACCUACGGGUGAAAGCAGGGGAUCUUCGGACCUUGCGCGAUUGAAUGAGCCGAUGUCGGAUUAGCUAGUUGGCGGGGUAAAGGCCCACCAAGGCGACGAUCCGUAGCUGGUCUGAGAGGAUGAUCAGCCACACUGGAACUGAGACACGGUCCAGACUCCUGCGGGAGGCAGCAGUGGGGAAUAUUGGACAAUGGGCGCAAGCCUGAUCCAGCCAUACCGCGUGGGUGACGAAGGCCUUCGGGUUGUAAAGCCCUUUUGUUGGGAAAGAAAAGCAGCAGGUUAAUACCCCGCUGUUCUGACGGUACCCAAAGAAUAAGCACCGGCUAACUUCGUG
rnacentral:rRNA from 1 species